AUGGGCUUUGGCCUCAACUGGGUUUUUCUUGUGGCUCUUUUAAGAGGUGUCCAGUGUGAGGUGAAGCUGGUGGAGUCUGGGGGAGGCUUGGUGCCUCCUGGGGGGCCUCUAAGACUCGGCUGUGCAGCCUCUGGAUUCACAUUCAGUAGCUAUAGGAUGAACUGGGUCCGCCAGGUUCCAGGAAAGGGGCUGGAGUGGGUAUCGUACAUUAAUGAAGAUGGAAGUAACACAUACUAUGCCAACUCUGUGAAGGGCCAAUUCACCAUCUCCAGAGACAAUGCCAAGAACAUGCUGUAUCUGCAAAUGAACAGCUUGAGAUCUCAGGACACCGCUGUGUAUUACUGUGUAAGAGACACACAGUGA